rnacentral:rRNA from 1 species
GAGUUUGAUCUUGGCUCAGAUUGAACGCUGGCGGAAUGCUUUACACAUGCAAGUCGAGCGGCAGCGCGGGGCAACCUGGCGGCGAGCGGCGAACGGGUGAGUAAUGCAUCGGAACGUGUCCAUGUCGUGGGGGAUAGCCCGGCGAAAGCCGGAUUAAUACCGCAUACGCCCGAGAGGGGAAAGUGGGGGACCGCAAGGCCUCACGCGAUUGGGUCGGCCGAUGUCCGAUUAGCUAGUUGGCGGGGUAAAGGCCCACCAAGGCGAUGAUCGGUAGCUGGUCUGAGAGGAUGAUCAGCCACACUGGGACUGAGACACGGCCCAGACUCCUACGGGAGGCAGCAGUGGGGAAUUUUGGACAAUGGGGGCAACCCUGAUCCAGCCAUUCCGCGUGAGUGAAGAAGGCCUUCGGUUGU